AACGAACGCUGGCGGCGUGCUUAACACAUGCAAGUCGAACGCGAACGGGUUCUUCGGGACCUUAGUAGAGUGGCGCACGGGUGAGUAACGCGUAAGUUAUCUACCUCGGCAUCUGGAAUAACUCACCGAAAGGUGUGCUAAUACCGGAUACGUUGAGUAAUCAAGAAAGGUGGCCUCUGAAUAUGCUACCGUGCUGAGAUGAGCUUUCGUACCAUUAGCUAGUUGGUGGGGUAAUGGCCUACCAAGGCGACGAUGGUUAGCGGGUCUGAGAGGAUGAUCCGCCACACUGGAACUGGAACACGGACCAGACUCCUACGGGAGGCAGCAGUGAGGAAUAUUGCGCAAUGGGGGCAACCCUGACGCAGCGACGCCGCGUGGAUGAUGAAGGCCUUCGGGUCGUAAAAUCCUGUCAGGUGGAAAGAAAUGUAUAUGUGCUAAUACCAUGUAUACUUGACGGUACCACCGAAGGAAGCACCGGCUAACUCCGUGCCAGCCGCCGCAGUAAUAC
rnacentral:rRNA from 1 species